rnacentral:rRNA from 1 species
CCUACGGGAGGCAGUAGUGGGGAAUAUUGCGCAAUGGGCGAAAGCCUGACGCAGCGACGCCGCGUGAGGGAUGAAGGUCUUCGGAUCGUAAACCUCUGUCAGCAGGGAAGAACGGUCACUGUGCUAAUCAGCAGUGAAUUGACGGUACCUGCAACGGAAGAACCGGCUAACUCCGUGCCAGCAGCCGCGGUAAUCCGGAGGGUGCGAGCGUUAAUCGGAAUUACUGGGCGUAAAGCGCUCGUAGGCGGUAUGUCAAGUCAAGGGUGAAAUCCCCGCGCUCAACGUGGGAACUGCCUUUGAAACUGGCAAACUGGAGUGUGUGAGAGGAUAGUGGAAUUCCAGGGGUAGGAGUGAAAGCCGUAGAUAUCUGGAGGAACAUCAGUGGCGAAGGCGACUAUCUGGCACAUAACUGACGCUGAGGAGCGAAAGCGUGGGUAGCAAACAGGAUUAGAUACCCCUGUAGUC